GGGGGUGAGCUCUUGCUCAGCAGCAGAGCACACACUUUGCACGCAAAAGAUCCCAGGUUCAAUUCCUGGCAUCCCCA